UUUCUCUUAGAGUAUCACUUUUGCUCACUUUUCACGGAGCAAAUCAAGUGCCACCCUCUGCACUCCGUCAAGGGCAUGGGAACUGGAGGACCCAGUCAAGGGCCUGCAGCCACGGCUGCUGGUGCCACUGAGUUCCAUGAAUCAGACAACAUCCAACCUAGCAGACAGAAAUGAGCUCUGAGGAACUGCGCAGAAGCAACUCAGAACAAGGAAAUUAUGCUGGACACUAAAAUCAGAUCCCACAUCUUUGAAAAGAAAAUGUGAACACCUGUAUCCAAGGUGUCCUUGAGAGUUAAGUAAGACAUCGUGGUGAUGCCCCCAGUGCACAGCUGCGGAUGAGAAGGAAAGGAGAACAAGAUGAAGUCCCAAGAGCGGGUUUGGGUACAGGGACAAACGAUGCAGCUGAUAUACGCCUGCCCUCAUUUCCGUGUGCACGCACACACGUGUGCACACAUGCACACACGCAUGUACCUGCUUCAUCCGUCCUCCAGCCAACUUUCUAAAAAGAGUUCAGUAGUUUAAAAUAUUCAUAGCAAAUCUUCUCUCAGUUUUUGGCAUAAUUGAGUAAUCCAACCACCGAAUAAAGAAGGACUUGAUAUUUUUGGCUUCCUAGAAACUGUAGGGGAGGAAAACACUUCCUUCUACCCUUCCAGAUUCUGCAGCUAGUUUAAGAAUUAAGUUGACCUAGGACAGAUUAAUCAGGAGGAAAAACUCCCAACUUUGAUUACGUACGUACUCAUGAGGUCUCACAAAAAUAUGAGACCAAGGUGAUUCUCAGAUGACUGAGAUUUACACAGCACCUUGAGGUAAAGGAAAGGGUGAGGGUGGUCAUGGCUUUGAGGCGGAAGGAGACAAAUUCUGGCCUGGGUGAGAGACGGAAGUGAAAACAGGCACAACCAGUAAAUCCCAGGAGCCUUGUUGUGCAGAUAAGGGCCUCUCAGGUGAAAGACCACAUCUGGUAGCUCUCUUCCUGGUGUAUUUGCUAAGGGAAAUUUCCUUUAUAAAUGUAAAUUUCCUCUGUAAGAGGGGAAGUACAUACUUUUCUUAGGGGUCUUAGGGGGCAGUGAAGAGCUUUUCCUGUGCCCGCUGAUUUUCUCUCCCCUUUGCCUCAAAUAAUCCAUAUGCCAAAGUGUCAUAUUUGGGGGCAGCCUGUUCUGAACCCUUUACAUUUUUUCAGCAUGAAAGAACACAAAAUGUAUAACCUUGACCAAACUUUACUCAGAAAUAUCAGCGUGCUCACAAUAAGGACUUUCUUAGGGCUGCUAGUGGGGAUCACUGCCUCCUCAAAUCCAUGGGGGGGCAAACCCCCCAGAGCCCCAAGAACAGAAUUCAGUCUAUCCUGGGGGUGUCCGACAGCUCAAGAGACUGAAAAGAAAAUGGGAUUGAACAAGUUUUCAUCUGAAUGCUGAGGAACCCCAGUGACUUGGACUUUUUGCCCUGGUUAGGUGUUGGGUGGAAGCAAGACUGGGGCAAAGACAGCUCGAGGGGAGCUGGGCGGGACCAGGAUGAACUGCACACUCCAGAUACCUGCAGCACAGGUGCCCUGUCCCCUCCUCCUGGGAACUGGGAGCUACAGGAGCACCUAGUCACCAUGCAAGGGAACGGGGGAGGGUAGGGGUGACCGUGGAUCUCAGGUCUGGAAGGUUUUGAUCGUGGAUAGGACGUCUUAUCAAUGCCAGGCUUGCUUCCGAUAGGAGCACUCCCCUAGCAUAGAUUUAACCCAGAAAUUAGGAACGCAGACAAUUGUUCGUGUCCCCAGUGGCUCUGGCCAGAAACAAUUAUCCGCUUGGCUCAUUAAAACAAGUAACGAAUGCUAAUUGUCUCCACAAUUAGCCAAGUACUGGUUCAGCCACUUGUGCCUACAGUACGGGAUUGCGAGAGUGGCUGGCAAGAGGAGGACUUAAAUUCAGCCCUAAAUAGUCUGUCAUUUUAUUUUUUUUUUCUCUUUAUGCAGGGAGUGUGGGGUGCAGGAUAUAAAGAGGGAGCUUGGUCAAGGUGACCCUGACGCUAUUUUCUAGCUUUCAGAUAUGGAGAUUUGUGGUGAAAGCAAAUGCAUAGACUCAUAGAGGAUCCAUUUCCUCUGAGUCUACAUAAUCAGGAAAGUCCCUGGAGGGAGGAAGGAGAAGGAAGGAGAAGGUCCCUGGAAGGGAAGGAAAGGGAGGAGGAGAGAAAUGCCACCCACACAAGGCAACAUUCCCUGAAUUUCUGGAAGUUUCCUUAGGCCCUACCAAGGUUCUCUGAGGGCUCCAUGAGACACUGGGGUGGAUAUCCCAUAUUGCUGGAUAAGGUCCUUCCUAUGAAGACACCAGCAGAGGGAAGAUGGGACAGAAGGCAGAGGGCCGUGCAGGGAGUUGCAGGGCGGGGGGGAGGGAGGGGCGGUGGAGUUGGCUCAUACGCUCAUACUUCCCUUCUGAAAUUGCUCAAAUGAUGAAACUCUGGCUCUCCGCCCAAACAUCCCCAUUCCUCCCUUUAUUCUGCAUUUAUGUCUAGCUUGAUUUUCUAUUUUGCCCAGAUCUUCUGAGGACCUUGUCGUAUCAGUUAAUUUCCAGUGGUGAAGCACCAAGAGCCCAUGCAGCUCCUGCCCAGAGAGGACAGGGUGUGUCCCCUGCGAGGAAUAGCAAGGGGAUUCAAGCCCUCUGCCCUUCAGAACAAUACACUGGAGGGCAACCGAGGAGAAUGGAAGGGAGGUUAAUAAAAGCAAAUACAAGGCAGGAAGUAGAAAGAAAGCAAGCAAACAGGAAAGAAGGAAAGAAGGAAGGGAAGGAAGGAGAUUUUGUCUGAAGGCUCCCAAGUGAGAAGUUACUGGAGGCAAGGAUACCCUUCUUCUCUCUCUGCUCCUGCUUUUCUGCAUUGCACGUGUACCCGUCUGCUGCAGAUCUGAUUGCCAGAUUUAUCCUAAUAUCCUAGUGAUGGAUGAAAGUUGAAAUAUUCAUCAGCCCUGAAGUAUUUAUAUUACAAAAAUUAAUAGUUGAAAAGCACCCUGAUGACUCUCUCCAAGGAGAUCCAAGGUUGUAGUCAGUGUAGACAUCCAGUACUGGCUGGUGUCUUAACCUCAAUGACACUUGAACGAAAAAAGUAACAGUACAAAUAAGUA